rnacentral:tRNA from 1 species
CAGGGAGUAGUUUAAAAUAAGAAUAUCAGCUUUGGGAGUUGAAGGGGAAUGGAU